UGUAAUUGGGAGGGUAUAACGUGCAACCCCAAUUCCGGUGAAGUGAUUGGGAUAGACCUUAGUUGCAGCUACCUACGUGGCAGGUUUCAUUCUAGUAGCAGUCUUCAAAACCUUCAUUCUCUAACCACUCUAGUCCUUUCAAAUAAUGAAUUUAGUGGUCCAAUCAUGUCUUUAAUUGGAAACCUUUCUCAUCUCACCUCUGUGGACCUUUCGCGAAAUGGUUUCAGCGAGUUCAUUCCUUCUUCGAUAGUAGAUAUUUAUUAUCUCAACUUUCUCGAUCUUUCAUCUAAUCGUUUUUCUGGUCAGAUUCCAUCUUCUAUUGGAAAUCUUUCUCAUCUCACCUAUCUCGAUCUUUCAUAUAAUAGUUUUCCUGGUCAGAUUCCAUCUUGGAUUGGAAAUCUUUCUCAUCUCACCAAUCUUGACCUUCGUUCUAAUCAGAUUUUGGGUCAGAUUCCAACUUGGAUUGGAAAUCUUUCUCAUCUCACCAAUCUUGACCUUCGUUCGAAUCAGAUUUCGGGUCGGAUUCCAUCUUCGAUUGGAAAUCUUUAUAACCUCGCUUAUCUUGACCUUUUUGGGAAUGAUAUUGUUGGAGAAAUCCCAUCUUCUUUUGGCAAUCUAAACCAGCUGACCACCUUAGAUGCUAGUCUCAAUAGGCUCAAUGGAAGCCUUCCCAUUGCACUACUGAAUUUGACAAAGUUGUCAUAUUUAGGACUCUAUUACAAUCAGUUCACAGGCACAAUUCCUCAUAACAUCACUUCACUAUCCAAAUGAUUCAGUCACAUUCACAAUUAAUUUUACAAAAAAAUUCCAAAAUGAAGUCAUUUUGAUAAAUUAACAGAUGACUAACAACUUUGAUUGUCAAUAUAUAUAAGCACGAUUUUGAGAGUUCAUGUAGUAUUUUUGAAUUUUUGUUUAGUUCAAUAUGAAAUAUGCACUACUGUAAAGUUCGUGAAGGAAACACAACGCUUAAAGUUCAUGUAGUAUUUUUUGAAUUUUUAUGUAGUUCGGUAUGAAAUAUGCAUUAUUACAAAGUUCAGGUAGGAAUAAGUAUGAUGGUUAAAAUUCACGUUGAAAUAGGCACUUUUCCCGAGUAGACAAUCUCGCCCUGAGGAAUAUUAUUAGACCAACCGCAACGGAGGCACGUUGGGAGUCCUUAGCCGCUAAACCGAUGUAUUAUGCAAUUUUAUAAUAAUAUUUAGGUUAAGAUAACCAAGGAUGAGUCCGUAGAUAAGGAGUCGAAGGACUUGAUCCUUGUGCACGUGGCGGAGGGUGAUAGGGCUGGGUCGCAUAUGUGUUUUGUUUUGAAAAAAAAAAAUCAUUCAACCGAAGCCGAGGAAAAAAAAAACAAAGCUCUCGACGAAAAGGCGAUAUCGUUGUGGUUCCUCAAUCGUGUUCUUCCACGAAGAUCCAAGGUAAAUCGUUGUCUUCUGUGGUCGAUUUAAUGAUUAAACUAGGUUUUAUGAUGUUAUCGUCUCAAUUUAGGGUUCGUUUUCCGUUUCAAUCGAUUUGGGGAUACUUUCGAUUUAGGGUUUCAAAAUUUUUUUGGGUUUUCAAUUGAUUUCCGAUUCUUUUGGCUUCAACUUAUUCAAAACGUUCUCGGUUUCAAUCUAAGGGAUCUUCGUAUUUGUUCUUAAACAUGUUUCGAUUUCGGUUUCGAAAUACCAAUUUGUUUUCAAUCGAUUUGAACGUCUAUUUGUUUUCUUAUUACGGUUUAUAUGUGUUUGGUUUUUAGUUUGCGUAUCUGUAUGGUUUGGUUAUUCUUAUCUUGUUGUCUGUUAAACUCGAAAACUCAAUCUUGGAUGCCCUCUGUAGUGUUGCCUAUCUUGUUUUAUUAGUUCUCGUUCUCGUUAUUCUGUUCUGUUGCUCUGUAGUCUUAUUGCUCUUUAAUAAUCCUUCUUCUUUGCUUAUAAAUUAUCUAUUUUUUUCAGGUCAACCAACCAUGGGACAAGACUAUAGCUACAGCCAGCCUUCUUCAUCUUCGGAGUUUGACAUGACCUCCCUACUCUUAGCAGAAGCUGAAGCCUACGCGGAUGAAGCUGAGAGUAGCUACACAAUUGAAGAGCCGGUUCAGUACCCACUGCAACCUGAGGCAGAUGAAGGCAUCCCGACGACAUGCUAUUGUGGUGCUGAGCCAGUUGUUGAAACUUCGUACACUCCUAGAGAUCCAGGCAGAAGGUACUUCUCGUGCGUCAACGUUGACGAUGGAGACUGUCACAUUUGGAAGUGGUGGGAUGUGGCGAUCAUGGAGGAGAUGCGUGACGUUCAGAGAAAAAUCAGGCUUCUCAAGGAUCAAUUCUUUGAGACUGACCAGAAGGUGGCAAAGCUAGAGAAGACCGUUGGUUUGUUACGUAAGAAGAAUUCAGGGGUUGCAAAGGGAGUUUGUCUACUGGUCAUGGUAAUAACGGUCAUGAUUUUGUGCUGGUAAGUUACUAUCCUUAGUUUAGGUAAUUUAUUUGAAUAAAAAAUACUUGUAACUCUUUUCUGUUAUGUGUUUUCAGGAAGAGCUUUGGAGGAUUUAAGCCACAACGUCUCAACUCGAGAUUGUCUUGCCAGGUACGAUCUUGCUGCUGCUUAAUAAAAACCAGGAUUUGGUCGGGAGCAUUGACUGUAUGCAUUGGGAGUGGAAAAAUUGCCCAACCGCUUGGAAAGGACAGUACGCACGUGGAUCAUCAAAACCGACAAUUGUCCUAGAGGCUGUAGCUUCGCAAGAUUUUUGGAUCUGGCACACCUUUUUUGGUCAUCCAGGUACAUUAAAUGAUAUUAAUGUCCUCGAUCGGUCUCCUGUAUUUGAUGAUAUUUUAGAAGGUCGAGCUCCCAGGUUAAGGUAUGUGGUCAACGGACACAUGUAUAAGUUGGCAUACUACCUCACAGACUGUAUAUAUCCCAAAUGGUCAACAUUUAUCCAAUCUAUCACACUCCCUCAAUCUCCGAAACAAGAGUUAUUUGCUAAAGUGCAAGAAGCAGCCCGAAAAGAUGUGGAGCGGGCUUUUAGAGUAUUGCAAGCUUGAUUUGUGAUUGUGAAAAACCCGGUUCGUACAUUGGACAAAGAAAAGAUAAGGAAGAUUAUGAGAGCGUGUAUCAUACUACACAAUAUGAUAGUUGAAAAUGAACGAGAUGGUUACAGCCGGUACGAUGCAGAAGAAUUUGAAGAAGGAGACGUCACCAGAAGUUCAGAGGUCGAAACCAAGAGGCCUACAAAUAUGAAUAAUUUGUUUCCCAAUCGGAAUGAUCUUCGUGAUAGGCAUAUGCAUGAACGAUUGAAGAAUGAUUUAAUCAAAAAUAUUUAGAACAAAUUUGGUGAUGAAGAUUAAUAAUUUGUGUAUCUUUUCCUUUCAUCAUUGUAUCUUUAUUUUUAGUUAUGCAAUUAACAAAAUUUCAAUUUCAAUUUAAUUUUUUUUUUAUUAUUGCUAAGGACUUCAUCUUCAGACACACCAUUGGACGACCAUUUUUGAUUCCAAUCCUUAACUAUUCAAAAAAAAUAUAUAUUAAUAAAAUAAUGCUAAAGAUCCAUUGCUGGAGCACACCAUUGCAUAUGCUCUUAGUUGAAGAAUGUACUCGCUAUGAUAUGGGGACAUAUGGCUCGAUCGUGAUUACAUUCAUGACGAAAAAUUAAUUCUUCUGUCAUGAAGAAUAUUCUCGUCCAGCUAGCUUGAUAUUUUUGCUCAUUUUUUUUUUUUGAUAACUAUGGUAUCUGGGCAGCCACAGUCCCAACUAUCCCCCGUAGGGGGUCCAGCGCUCCAGCGGAAGGGAUGUUAAAUCCGCUGUGGCCGGGGCUCGAAGUCGGGCACCUCAGCCGAGGUUCUUUUACCACCAGACCACGAGGCCCGGUUAAAAACUGUUGUGGGUAAACUUUUUAUAUUGACUGACCCCACCCCGAAAGGCCCCGCAUCUAGGAAAACCCCUUAGGAUUUUUUUGGAGAGGUUUCAGUACCACCCCGCCGACAGAGUGUCGAACCCGCGACCUCUGGCAGUCGUGUGUGAGAAUCCCUUCAGUACUGCCGCUAGGCCACCUGAAGUAUCUCAAAACUGUUGUGGGUAAACUUUUUAUAGUGACUGACCCCACCCCGAAAGACCCCGCAUCCAGGAAAACCCCUUAGAAUUUUGUUGGAGAGGUUUCAGUACCACCCCGCCGACAGAGUGUCGAACCCGCGACCUCUGGCAGUCGUGUGUGAGAAUCCCUUCAGUACUGCCGCUAGGCCACCUGAAGUAUCUCCAAGUGAUUGAUUCUUAGUGAAGGGUUGAUCCUUUUGUCAUGUUUGCAUAUAUUUCUCAUUUUUGAAGUCAUGAGGAAUAAACCAAAAAUAAAAAUAAGACCGCUGGCCGUUGAUUUUUCUUGGAAAGGUUGAUGUUUGUUUUCUUCUUAUUAGUAUAAGAGAUUCAUUCUUAUUUUGAAAUUCUAUCAAAAUUAAACUAGUGUAGCAGUUAAAUUAGUUUUUUUUUAUUAAAGCUAGGAAUGUCAUAUAAAUUAAACUAGUGUAGCAGUUAAAUUAGUUUUUUUUUUCUUAAAGCUAGGAAUGUCAUAAUGUCAUAAAAUCUUGACUUUUUUAAAUUAUAAGUAAAAAAGAUAAAACAUUCAUUUACUAUCAAAUCGAAAGACUAUAAUAUAUGCAAUGCAUGGGUCUUAGUAUAUGCAAUAUGCAUGGGUCUCGUAAACAUUAGUUUGAAUCCAAAUAUAAACCUAAGCAAAUUAAGACUUCAUAAUUAACGUCUUCUUUGGUGUAGACAAUUUUUUUUUUGAAAAUUCAUGUAAUUAGUGUAGGGGACCAAUAUGUGUGGAAAUUUGACUAUCCGACACAAAGAUUUUGCCUUCGACGUGAUGAAUAUUGGAUUUAUCUCUGUGGAUAUUUUCUGUGUGGAAUAAAAACGAAGUCUAUUAUUGCGCUAUAAAGAGAUGGGCAUGGAAGCAUGUUACUCAUCACCAAUUUCCCUUUUCAUUUCAAAGUUAAAUAAGCUUAAAAGAAGAAUGAAAGGCUUUUGGAACAUAACGAGUACCUUUUCUCUUACUCUUUCUAUACUUCUCUUACUCGGCUACAGUUAUGAGGACGUGUCUGCGGUUCCAACUAGGCACUUGUGUCGUCCGGAACAAAGGGAUGCACUUCUCCAAUUCAAGACCGAGUUCGAGGUUCUAAACUCUUCCUUUUCUUCUUAUAAUUGUUAUAUCAAUGAUGAUAUACUAGUGUCUCAUCGGAAGACGGACUCAUGGGCGAAUAACAGCGACUGCUGUAAUUGGGAGGGUAUCACGUGCGAUGCCAAAUCCGGUGAAGUGAUCGAGCUAGACCUUAGUUGCAGCAACCUACGUGGCACGUUUCGUUCCAAUAGCAGUCUGCAAAACCUUCAUUCUCUAACCACCCUAAACCUUUCACUUAAUGAUUUUAGUGGUCAAAUCAUGUCUUCAAUUGGAAACCUUUCUCAUCUCACCUCUCUCGACCUUUCACUAAAUGGUUUCAGCGAGUUCAUUCCUUCUUCGAUAGUAGAUCUUUAUUAUCUCACCUCUAUCGAUCUUUCUCAAAAUCGUUUUUCGGG
rnacentral:lncRNA from 1 species